rnacentral:rRNA from 1 species
ACGUAGGUGGCAAGCGUUGUCCGGAAUUAUUGGGCGUAAAGCGCGCGCAGGUGGUUUAAUAAGUCUGAUGUGAAAGCCCACGGCUCAACCGUGGAGGGUCAUUGGAAACUGUUAAACUUGAGUGCAGGAGAGAAAAGUGGAAUUCCUAGUGUAGCGGUGAAAUGCGUAGAGAUUAGGAGGAACACCAGUGGCGAAGGCGGCUUUUUGGCCUGUAACUGACACUGAGGCGCGAAAGCGUGGGGAGCAAACAGG